rnacentral:rRNA from 1 species
CGAACGGGUGAGUAACGCGUGAGGAACCUGCCUCAAAGAGGGGGACAACAGUUAGAAAUGACUGCUAAUACCGCAUAAGCGCACGGUACCGCAUGGUACAGUGUGAAAAACUCCGGUGGUGUGAGAUGGAUCCGCGUCUGAUUAGGUAGUUGGUGAGGUAACGGCCCACCAAGCCGACGAUCAGUAGCCGACCUGAGAGGGUGACCGGCCACAUUGGGACUGAGACACGGCCCAA